rnacentral:rRNA from 1 species
GGUUAAGCGACUAAGCGUACACGGUGGAUGCCCUGGCAGUCAGAGGCGAUGAAGGACGUGCUAAUCUGCGAUAAGCGUCGGUAAGGUGAUAUGAACCGUUAUAACCGGCGAUUUCCGAAUGGGGAAACCCAGUGUGUUUCGACACACUAUCAUUAACUGAAUCCAUAGGUUAAUGAGGCGAACCGGGGGAACUGAAACAUCUAAGUACCCCGAGGAAAAGAAAUCAACCGAGAUUCCCCCAGUAGCGGCGAGCGAACGGGGAGGAGCCCAGAGCCUGAAUCAGUGUGUGUGUUAGUGGAAGCGUCUGGAAAGGCGCGCGAUACAGGGUGACAGCCCCGUACACAAAAAUGCACAUGCUGUGAGCUCGAUGAGUAGGGCGGGACACGUGGUAUCCUGUCUGAAUAUGGGGGGACCAUCCUCCAAGGCUAAAUACUCCUGACUGACCGAUAGUGAACCAGUACCGUGAGGGAAAGGCGAAAAGAACCCCGGCGAGGGGAGUGAAAAAGAACCUGAAACCGUGUACGUACAAGCAGUGGGAGCACGCUUAGGCGUGUGACUGCGUACCUUUUGUAUAAUGGGUCAGCGACUUAUAUUCUGUAGCAAGGUUAACCGAAUAGGGGAGCCGAAGGGAAACCGAGUCUUAACUGGGCGUUAAGUUGCAGGGUAUAGACCCGAAACCCGGUGAUCUAGCCAUGGGCAGGUUGAAGGUUGGGUAACACUAACUGGAGGACCGAACCGACUAAUGUUGAAAAAUUAGCGGAUGACUUGUGGCUGGGGGUGAAAGGCCAAUCAAACCGGGAGAUAGCUGGUUCUCCCCGAAAGCUAUUUAGGUAGCGCCUCGUGAAUUCAUCUCCGGGGGUAGAGCACUGUUUCGGCAAGGGGGUCAUCCCGACUUACCAACCCGAUGCAAACUGCGAAUACCGGAGAAUGUUAUCACGGGAGACACACGGCGGGUGCUAACGUCCGUCGUGAAGAGGGAAACAACCCAGACCGCCAGCUAAGGUCCCAAAGUCAUGGUUAAGUGGGAAACGAUGUGGGAAGGCCCAGACAGCCAGGAUGUUGGCUUAGAAGCAGCCAUCAUUUAAAGAAAGCGUAAUAGCUCACUGGUCGAGUCGGCCUGCGCGGAAGAUGUAACGGGGCUAAACCAUGCACCGAAGCUGCGGCAGCGACGCUGAUGCGUUGUUGGGUAGGGGAGCGUUCUGUAAGCCUGCGAAGGUGUGCUGUGAGGCAUGCUGGAGGUAUCAGAAGUGCGAAUGCUGACAUAAGUAACGAUAAAGCGGGUGAAAAGCCCGCUCGCCGGAAGACCAAGGGUUCCUGUCCAACGUUAAUCGGGGCAGGGUGAGUCGACCCCUAAGGCGAGGCCGAAAGGCGUAGUCGAUGGGAAACAGGUUAAUAUUCCUGUACUUGGUGUUACUGCGAAGGGGGGACGGAGAAGGCUAUGUUGGCCGGGCGACGGUUGUCCCGGUUUAAGCGUGUAGGCUGGUUUUCCAGGCAAAUCCGGAAAAUCAAGGCUGAGGCGUGAUGACGAGGCACUACGGUGCUGAAGCAACAAAUGCCCUGCUUCCAGGAAAAGCCUCUAAGCAUCAGGUAACAUCAAAUCGUACCCCAAACCGACACAGGUGGUCAGGUAGAGAAUACCAAGGCGCUUGAGAGAACUCGGGUGAAGGAACUAGGCAAAAUGGUGCCGUAACUUCGGGAGAAGGCACGCUGAUAUGUAGGUGAAGUCCCUCGCGGAUGGAGCUGAAAUCAGUCGAAGAUACCAGCUGGCUGCAACUGUUUAUUAAAAACACAGCACUGUGCAAACACGAAAGUGGACGUAUACGGUGUGACGCCUGCCCGGUGCCGGAAGGUUAAUUGAUGGGGUUAGCCGCAAGGCGAAGCUCUUGAUCGAAGCCCCGGUAAACGGCGGCCGUAACUAUAACGGUCCUAAGGUAGCGAAAUUCCUUGUCGGGUAAGUUCCGACCUGCACGAAUGGCGUAAUGAUGGCCAGGCUGUCUCCACCCGAGACUCAGUGAAAUUGAACUCGCUGUGAAGAUGCAGUGUACCCGCGGCAAGACGGAAAGACCCCGUGAACCUUUACUAUAGCUUGACACUGAACAUUGAGCCUUGAUGUGUAGGAUAGGUGGGAGGCUUUGAAGUGUGGACGCCAGUCUGCAUGGAGCCGACCUUGAAAUACCACCCUUUAAUGUUUGAUGUUCUAACGUUGACCCGUAAUCCGGGUUGCGGACAGUGUCUGGUGGGUAGUUUGACUGGGGCGGUCUCCUCCUAAAGAGUAACGGAGGAGCACGAAGGUUGGCUAAUCCUGGUCGGACAUCAGGAGGUUAGUGCAAUGGCAUAAGCCAGCUUGACUGCGAGCGUGACGGCGCGAGCAGGUGCGAAAGCAGGUCAUAGUGAUCCGGUGGUUCUGAAUGGAAGGGCCAUCGCUCAACGGAUAAAAGGUACUCCGGGGAUAACAGGCUGAUACCGCCCAAGAGUUCAUAUCGACGGCGGUGUUUGGCACCUCGAUGUCGGCUCAUCACAUCCUGGGGCUGAAGUAGGUCCCAAGGGUAUGGCUGUUCGCCAUUUAAAGUGGUACGCGAGCUGGGUUUAGAACGUCGUGAGACAGUUCGGUCCCUAUCUGCCGUGGGCGCUGGAGAACUGAGGGGGGCUGCUCCUAGUACGAGAGGACCGGAGUGGACGCAUCACUGGUGUUCGGGUUGUCAUGCCAAU